UGAACUAAGCAACUGCAUGUUUUCGUAUUGGUUUCGUGUAUUUAUUGAAGAUUUUCAAUGUUUUUGCGUAUUGUUUUGUGUUUAAUAUGUGUCUUUAACUUGUGCCUAAAUUCUGUUUAAUGAAAAAUGCGGCAUGCAUUACAAUUUUAAAAGCAAAGGCAAAAAAAAUUCUUUGUUGGCUGAAGUCGACCGGUGGAUAUUUCUCAGAUACGUCUGAAGUCAAAGCGCAGAUAAAACUAGCAAGUUGGCAGUGCGAUAUUGUUAAAGUUGAACUUGCGCUGUACCAUUUUGAAUCCUAAAUAGGACACUGAUGUAUGGCCGCAUCUGCAUAGAAAAACUGUAUCGCCCAAUGCGAUUUUUUGCUACGGGGAUUUUACAAGAACAAACAGAGGCUGUUGGUCGGAAUCCCAUGUAAUCCGGACCACUUAUCACGCGUGCAAAAUGCAAAUUCGUGUGGGCCGGGCGUACGCAGAAUUAACGAAAACGCUAAACGGACCGAGCGGUACGUCACCGAAAUUGACAAACUUUCGCAAACAUUAUCAAAGGAUAAACAAGGUAAUCUCGGCGCUCGGCGGUCGGUCGGCGUUCGAUGAAGUCGUAUAAACGUCUCGAAGUUUCGCCGCUCGCCAGCUGAGAAAAUAAGGAGUUAAUAAGCUGUAUAGAAGCUGGGCAAAGCGAUUGCGUGAGUGAUAUAAAUACAAAGUAAAUGCUCUUUGAAUAAGUGCACACUUGCGUUCGUGAUAACGAAAUUAAAGGUGGCGUGUGUGCGCGCCGUUAGCGCUUGCACGCUUUUCAAUAUGUCUACACAUUAUUGAUUAGCUUCUGAGAAAAACUUGGCACGCCUAUAACGAGAGCACGCUCAUAGACUUGCUGAAGGCGUAAAGCGCAGUUAUUUAUGUGUCGUACCACACGGUAAUUAUAGAUGUCGUUUGUUUGAUAUAGUAUUGU